rnacentral:tRNA from 1 species
AGGGAAGUAACUCAGUUGGUUAGAGUACGCGCCUGAUAUACGUGUGGUCGUAGGUUCGAUUCCUAUCUUCCCUACCA